rnacentral:rRNA from 1 species
GCACAAGCGGUGGAGCAUGUGGUUUAAUUCGACGCAACGCGCAGAACCUUACCAGGGUUUGACAUCCCAAGACCGCUUCUGAAAGGAAGUUUUCCCGCAAGGGACUUGGAGACAGGUGCUGCAUGGCUGUCGUCAGCUCGUGUCGUGAGAUGUUGGGUUAAGUCCCGCAACGAGCGCAACCCCCGCCUUUAGUUGCCAUCAUUAAGUUGGGCACUCUAGAGGGACCGCCGGCGACAAGCCGGAGGAAGGUGGGGAUGACGUCAAGUCCUCAUGGCCCUUACACCCUGGGCUACACACGUGCUACAAUGGCGGUGACAGUGAGCAGCUAGUUCGCGAGAACAUGCUAAUCUCAAAAACCGUCCCAGUUCAGAUUGCACUCUGCAACUCGGGUGCAUGAAGGUGGAAUCGCUAGUAAUCGCAGAACAGCAGGCUGCGGUGAAUACGUUCCCGGGC